GCAUCCUCACUUCCUCAAGAUUAAUUGGGCUAAACCAUUACGGACACCCUCAACUUUACAACUUGUAACAAUUAUACCCUAAAAUAAACUUAACUCUCCAAACAUCCCAAUUUGAAACUUGUGUAAAAAUUUCACUCUUAAUUACAAAUCCAGUCAAAAUUGAUAUUAAAAUAUGAUAAACGUGGGACCCAUAGAAGUUAAUUAACCCAACUUUGGUUAGCAUGUUUUAAACGACACCGUUUUAUCUUUUUCUAACCCAAACCUAAUUCUCUCUUCUUCAACUAUUCCUUUCUCUUUCUGUCUCUCGCUACCAUGGCUCUUCUUCAUUUUGGACUUAUGAGCAUGGCUGCUGCAAGUGGCCGUGGCAAAUCUUUCAUUGCUUCUGCAAGGCAAAGGUUGUUGUUGAAGAGGUGAAUUUUCAGCCUUUAUGAUUUUUUUGUUGAAUUUGGUUUCUGGGUUUUUUCGAAGUUUAAUUUUUCUUUUUUAAUGGAAUGGGAAUUUACUGAUUUAUGGAGGGUAUUUGAAUAAUUGUGUUAUUUUGGCUUGUGGGUACUCUAAUUUGAACUGUUUCUGUAAUUUUUAAAGAAAAAGUAAAGGAUUCAUGAAUAUGUUUAUGACUCUAGAACUUGGACGGCGGUGGCAGUAAUGGUGGUAGUGUCGGUGGAGUUGGGAGAGUUCAGAGGUAGUAAUAUUUAAUGAUCAGUUGUUACUUUACUGAGGACCAAAGAAAUCGAAGAAAGAAAGAGGCUAGACCGCUAAAGAAUGUAUAAGCAAUAUGCCUCAUUGCGCGGUUUUUGUUUACCGUGGUGUCACUAGCAGAUCUUAUAGAAGAAGAAGCAGCCAUUGAAUUUGUUACUAUCUCUGAUUGACGAAGGAGGAGUCCAAGGCCCAGUUUUUGGCUCUUGUUGACAAAGAAGGUCCAAAAACAAUAAAUUUAUUCAAAGAUCCCAAAAUUUACAGUGCAAACACAGAGUAAUGCUUUUGGUUUUGUGGUUCAUGGAAUAGACAUGAUGGAUUGGUUGAUACGAAGCAGUGCCAUUUAGAAAAUGCUAACUGUAGUUGGGUUAGCUAAUUUUUAUAGGUCUCACGUUCAUUAUAUUUUAAUAUCAAUUUUGACUGAAUUUGUAAUUAUGGUGUAAUCUCUAUGCAAGUUUAAAAUUAGGGUGUUAAGUUUAUUUUAAGGUGCAAUUAUUACAAGUCGUAAAAUUGAGGGUAUCAGAAAUGGUUUAGCCAGAUUAAUUGUGUAUUUAAGAAUGAUUAGGAGCAUUGUAGAUAACAAAGACAUAAAAUUAUGUUUAACUACCUCGUUAAAUCUCUGUAUGUUUUUCUAUUUUCUCUAAAGUAAUGUAACCUGGGAAGAGUAAAAAGAGUAAUAAAUAAGAAAAAAUUACAAAUGUCCCUAUUUGAGGCCAAAA